rnacentral:rRNA from 1 species
UACGUAGGGGGCUAGCGUUGUCCGGAAUCAUUGGGCGUAAAGAGCGUGUAGGCGGCCCGGUAAGUCCGCUGUGAAAGUCGGGGGCUCAACCCUCGAAUGCCGGUGGAUACUGUCGGGCUAGAGUGCGGAAGAGGCGAGUGGAAUUCCUGGUGUAGCGGUGAAAUGCGCAGAUAUCGGGAGGAACACCAGCGGCGAAGGCGGCACUCUGGGCUGGAACUGACGCUGAGGAGCGAAAGCGUGGGUAGCAAACAGG